ensembl:lncRNA
ACUGAGUGUCUGAAACACCUGCUCUUUCCAUGACAAACUGACCAGGUGAAAGCUAUGAUCCCUUCCUGAUGUCACUUGUUAAUUAAAUCCACUUCAAAUCAGUGUAGAUGAAGGGGAGGAGACAGGUUAAAUAAGGAUUUUUAAGCCUUGAGACAAUUGAGACAUGGAUUGUGUAUAUGUGCCAUUCAGAGAGUAAAUGGCCAAGACAAAAGAUUUAAGUGUCUUUGAACAGGGUAGGUGGCAAGCACACCGGUUUGUGUCAAGAACUGCAACGCUGCUGGGAUUUUCACGCUCAACAGUUUCACGGUCUACCACCCAAAGGACAUCCAGCCAACUUGUCAAAACUAUGGAGUGGGAUGGAGUUUUGGCCUUUCCAUGGUGACAUCAACAUGUGGAUAUCAAGUCAAGAGAAACAAGAUGAACCUGCUCACCCAGCAAACGGUGAUGCUUUGGCUCUCUGUUGCUCGCACACUCACAACUGCAGAGCUGGUGAAGCUAAGCACUGUUGACUCUGUCAUUGUGCCAUGUCACCAGCGUGUAACCCUCCGAUGUGACAUCACCACCUUCCAGGAGGGGCUGUCGAUCAAACAUCUGGCCUGGGUCCGCCAGGACGGCAAGCACCUGUGUGACGUUAACGGAACUGGAGUGACCGGGGCCCACUCAGGGAGCACACCUAGUACCAUGGAGUGUAGUUAUACCCCACAGACACAGCUGACCCUGACUCUGCUGCAGGUACAGCCACUGGAGCAGGGAAAGUACUUGUGCAAGCUACGCUCCAAUCACGGAGUAAAGGAGGCCACUACAACGGUGGAGCUGCAAGAGUGCUACAGGAAGGCCCAGCCCAGUGUCAGUGAUGAGGGCCCAACCUGCACCUUCACUGGGGUCUACCCUGAUGGAGAGGUGCACUGGUUCCAGGGACCCAACAACGUGACUGGGGACUCUACAAUCAACACUAAACAAGUGGAAGAUGGAGCGUCAUUGACUAUAACUAGUUCCCUGAAAAGAAAGACCGUCUCUGGGGAAGGGGCCUACAACUGCUCCCUGUGGAUCCCCAGUACCGGAGCCUACCUGACCAGCAGCUUAGUGGUACCAGAGCAUAGUAAAGCCAAGGUUGUGCAGCCCAAUGCCAGUGGGGCAGAGUCCAUUGGUCCUUUGUGGAAACCUUUUCUAUUCCUCCUGAGUACUCUCUUCCUGGUGUGAUGUCUUGUCAAUGUUUGUUUUCAAGCAAGUGGAUCAUUUAAUAAGAAUAUGGAAGAGCCAUUGUGUGAGGUUCCUUUCAUGGUCCAAAGGUUUCCUUGGCUGCGUAGAACAAGGAAAUGAUAACCUGAGGCUGGUAACCUGGUGCAAAUCAACCUAUUGUGAACGCACCCUUGUUGGUCUGCCAGUGCCAGAUGUCAAUUAGAUUGUUAAUUAAAAACAGCAAACGGCAGUAGAAACAAUAACAAAGCUUACUUCCUUCCCGUUUCGGUGAAAAGCUGAGGGAUGGGGCCGGAGAAAUGUAACCACUCUCAAAUUCAUAGACAGUGCUUUGGAUGCAUGGCCUGACCAUCGAUGAUAUCAAAAUAAAUAGUUUUAACAAUGUUUUGAGGCUAUGUAGUGUUUUAUUAAAUUGGAGUUAAACAAGCUUCUGAUGGGGUAAGACAGUUGCACUAAGCUCAUGAGGCAUUUAUAAGUUAUAUUCUUCAAGAAUGAAUGUGUACAUAUAUAAAAUUUAAAAAAUGAUGUAACAACUACUGUUUGCACCUUUAAGGGCGUGACCUUUUGUAGAAAAGCAUUCCUGUUUGCGUUAAUCAGAGAUCCCCCUUACUGUUCGGCGUGCUUUGGGCAGACAGGAGCGGUGGUUUAAUUGGGUUGAUUUUCUACGUUUGAUUGAAUGUGAGUUGUGCGAGAAACUUAUUGUUAGUAAUGAUGUCUGUGAGGUGAUAUUCCUGCUUAGGAUGGAUGUAAAUAAAUGGCUGCGUCCUGAUUAUUGUCUGAGUCCCAUGCUCCACUCCUUGACACAAAGAACCGGUGUAUUUUAGAUUUAGUCCUGAGGACCUCCUCUCGCCAAUAACAAAAAAAAAGUGAUGUAGGACUGCUACAGGAAUUGAACAUUUGUGUAAACUCUCCCGCACUACAUGCGGCGUAGUCCGGUAUCCCUAGUUGGGAGGUGUUACAUCUCGGC